rnacentral:rRNA from 1 species
GAUGAACGCUGGCGGCGUGCCUAAUACAUGCAAGUCGAGCGAACAGACGAGGAGCUUGCUCCUCUGACGUUAGCGGCGGACGGGUGAGUAACACGUGGAUAACCUACCUAUAAGACUGGGAUAACUUCGGGAAACCGGAGCUAAUACCGGAUAACAUGUUGAACCGCAUGGUUCAACAGUGAAAGACGGUCUUGCUGUCACUUAUAGAUGGAUCCGCGCCGCAUUAGCUAGUUGGUAAGGUAACGGCUUACCAAGGCAACGAUGCGUAGCCGACCUGAGAGGGUGAUCGGCCACACUGGAACUGAGACACGGUCCAGACUCCUACGGGAGGCAGCAGUAGGGAAUCUUCCGCAAUGGGCGAAAGCCUGACGGAGCAACGCCGCGUGAGUGAAGAAGGUCUUCGGAUCGUAAAACUCUGUUAUUAGGGAAGAACAAAUGUGUAAGUGACUAUGCACGUCUUGACGGCACCUAAUCAGAAAGCCACGGCUAACUACGUG